UACGUAGGGUGCGAGCGUUGUCCGGAAUUAUUGGGCGUAAAGGGCUCGUAGGCGGUUUGUCGCGUCUGCUGUGAAAACUCGGGGCUUAACCCCGGGCCUGCAGUGGGUACGGGCAGACUAGAGUGCGGUAGGGGAGACUGGAAUUCCUGGUGUAGCGGUGAAAUGCGCAGAUAUCAGGAGGAACACCGGUGGCGAAGGCGGGUCUCUGGGCCGUAACUGACGCUGAGGAGCGAAAGCGUGGGGAGCGAACAGG
rnacentral:rRNA from 1 species